AUUGAACGCUGGCGGCAGGCCUAACACAUGCAAGUCGAGCGGAGCGGCGGACGGGUGAGUAAUGCCUAGGUAGCUGCCUGGCAGUGGGGGAUAACGUCCGGAAACGGGCGCUAAUAUCGCACAGCAUCAGAUGCGCCUAGGUGGGAAUAGCUAGUUGGUUGGGUAAAGGCUUACCAAGGCGACGACCCGUAACUGGUCGGAGAGGAUGAUCAGUCACACGGGAACUGAGACACGGUCCAGACUCCUACGGGAGGCAGCAGUGGGGAAUAUUGGACAAUGGGCGAAAGCCUGAUCCAGCCAUGCCGCGUGUGGGAAGAAGGUCUUCGGAUUUUAAAGCACUUUAAGUUGGGAGGCGUUACCCGCAGAAGAAGCACCGGCUAACUCCGUGCCAGCAGCCGCGGUAAUUC
rnacentral:rRNA from 1 species